rnacentral:rRNA from 1 species
AGCGGAGGAAAAGAAACCAACAGGGAUUGCCUCAGUAACGGCGAGUGAAGCGGCAAAAGCUCAAAUUUUAAAGCUGGCACCUUCGGUGUCCGCGUUGUAAUUUUGUGAGGCAUCUCCGGGUAGGGCGCCGGCCUAAGUUCCUUGGAACAGGACGUCAUAGAGGGUGAGAAUCCCGUGCUUGGCUGGCUGUCCCCGUCCAUGUGAGGUGUCUUCGACGAGUCGAGUUGUUUGGGAAUGCAGCUCAAAAUGGGUGGUAAAUUUCAUCUAAAGCUAAAUAUUGGUGGGAGACCGAUAGCGCACAAGUAGAGUGAUCGAAAGAUGAAAAGCACUUUGAAAAUAGAGUUAAAAAGUACGUGAAAUUGUUGAAAGGGAAGCGCUUGAGACCAGACUUCGGUGGGGAGUGAUCAGCUGUCCUUCUGGGCGGUGCACUUGCUCCCCUCCGGGCCAGCAUCGGUUGGGACGGCGGGAUAAAGGUCCCGGGAAUGUGGCUCCUCUCGGGGAGUGUUAUAGCCCGGGUGAAUGCCGCCAGCCCCGACCGAGGACCGCGCCUUCGGGCUAGGAUGCUUGGCAUAAUGGUCUUCAGCGACCCGUC